rnacentral:rRNA from 1 species
AUUGAACGCUGGCGGCAGGCCUAACACAUGCAAGUCGAACGGUAGCACAGAGAGCUUGCUCUCGGGUGACGAGUGGCGGACGGGUGAGUAAUGUCUGGGAAACUGCCCGAUGGAGGGGGAUAACUACUGGAAACGGUAGCUAAUACCGCAUAACGUCGCAAGACCAAAGUGGGGGACCUUCGGGCCUCACACCAUCGGAUGUGCCCAGAUGGGAUUAGCUAGUAGGUGGGGUAAUGGCUCACCUAGGCGACGAUCCCUAGCUUGUCUGAGAGGAUGACCAGCCAAACGGGGACUGAGACACGGUCCAGACUCCUAAGGGAGGCAGCAGGGGGGAAUAUUGCAGAAUGGGCGCAAGCCUGAUGCAGCCAGGCCGCGUGUAUGAAGAAGGCCUUCGGGUUGUAAAGUACUUUCAGCGGGGAGGAAGGCGGUGAAGUUAAUAACUUCACCGAUUGACGUUACCCGCAGAAGAAGCACCGGCUAACUCCGUGCCAGCCGCCGCCGUAA